GCUGUUAAAUAGAAUAUCACGAAGGAAAUUGAGCUAACUAGUAAAACAUUUUAGUGCCUAGUUUAUGUGUUGCAACACAUUUUAUAUAUUACUGGUUAGGGGUGAGAGGCUUCCCAAGAUUUCCGAUAUCUUGAUUUCUAGGAAAAAUAUUAAGUAUAGUUACAUUUUGGAAAUACUAAGGUUUUCAAAAUUUACUAAAGGACUUUUAGUUAUACAUAAAUUAUUUAAUAAUAAUUAGGCAGUUUAUUCUAGCAUAAAGUAUUUUAUAGUUGUAGAAUAUACUGGAAUUUACCUAUAAUUAAUUAGAGUAGUAUUACUGUUGAUAUAAGUAUUAUAAUAUAGCUAUAACAGGAACUCGGCAAAACGUUUCCUCAACUGUUUAUCAAAAACAUAGCUGGAUGGAAUUCAUAUUUGGUAAAUUCUGCUCAAUGAUAAAUUAAAUAGCCGCAGUACCCUGACUGUGCAAAGGUAGCAUAAUCAUUUGGCUUAUAAUUGAAGUCUGGCAUGAAGGAAGAAAUGGGGGAAAGCUGUCUUUUAACGCGUAUUAGAAAUUAUUUAAUAAGUGAAAAUACUUAUAGUAAAACAAUAGACGAGAAGACCCUAGAAAUUUUAUAUAGCAGUAUUUAUACUACUACGUUAUUUUGUUGGGGCGACAGAAUAACAGUAAACUUGUUUUACACAAUUGGAACUUAAUUUUGAGCAAAAGUAAAUUACUCUAGGGAUAACAGCAUAAUGUAUAAAAGUUUGUGACCUCGAUGUUGGACUAGGGAUCUUAGUACCUAGAAGGUGCUAAGACAGGCUCUGUUCGAGCUUUUACCCCUACAUGAUCUGAGUUCAGACCGGC
rnacentral:rRNA from 1 species